rnacentral:rRNA from 1 species
GCCGAACCGUGCGAACGUUAUUCGGAAUCACUGGGCUUAAAGCGCGUGUAGGCGGGACGGCACGUCGGUCGCUGAAAGCCCCCGGCUCAACCGGGGAACGGGCGCCGAUACGACCGUCCUGGAGGGACGUAGGGGGACCUGGAACUUCCGGUGGAGCGGUGAAAUGCGUUGAGAUCGGAAGGAACGCCCGUGGCGAAAGCGAGGUCCUGGGACGGUACUGACGCUGAGACGCGAAAGCGUGGGGAGCGAACAGG